CCCACCAGCUGUCCUUUACACACACACCAUCAUUCAUUAUGCUUUUAUGAUUUUCAUAUUACUGGAUGUAAAAUUUGAAAUUAUUUACGUUACAGCCAUUAUAGCAUGUUAUGUAUUUUGUUGGCCCGUAAUCUAAUGGUCUCAACUUCUUUAGUAUGGAUUCACCCCUUACAUGACCUACGUAUUAUAAAAAGAAUAAAUUA
rnacentral:lncRNA from 1 species